rnacentral:siRNA from 1 species
UAGAUACUAAACGCCCUCCUGUC